UCUCCGUUGGUGAACCAGCGGAGGGAUCAUUGCUGGAACAAACGCCCUCACGGGUGCUACCCAGAAACCCUUUGUGAACUAUACUUAGUUGUUGCCUCGGCAUUGGUUGACUUCGAAUGAAGUCCCUGAAUCCUCUGGAAUCAGGAGCCGACCGGCCGACGGCCCCUAUAAACUCUUGUUUUUGUAUUAUCUUCUGAGUAAACAACUAUAAAUGAAUCAAAACUUUCAACAACGGAUCUCUUGGUUCUGGCAUCGAUGAAGAACGCAGC
rnacentral:misc_RNA from 1 species